rnacentral:rRNA from 1 species
UACGUAGGGUGCAAGCGUUAAUCGGAAUUACUGGGCGUAAAGCGUGCGCAGGCGGUUUUGUAAGUCUGUCGUGAAAUCCCCGGGCUCAACCUGGGAAUUGCGAUGGAGACUGCAAGGCUAGAAUCUGGCAGAGGGGGGUAGAAUUCCACGUGUGAGCAGUGAAAUGCGUAGAGAUGUGGAGGAACACCGGAUGGCGAAGGCAGCCCCCUGGGUCAAGAUUGACGCUCAUGCACGAAAGCGUGGGGAGCAAACGAGG